UUACGGUCAAAUCACGCUGAAAACACCGGUUCUCGUUCGAUCACCGAAGUUAAGCAUCGUAGAGCCAGGUCAGUACUUAGAUGGGGGACCGCUUGGGAACACCUGGUAUUGUAAG
rnacentral:rRNA from 1 species